UGUUACAGAUGGUAUCAGAGCCAGAAUCCGGAUCGAUGUGCCAGCGAAGGGGAGCGGAUUGUAAGGCCCACAUCGGUUGGGGAGGGGAACGAAACAUGCCUUAUAAGGAUGUGGAUACCUCUUCCUAGCAUGAUGCAUUUGACGAGUGAGUGUGUGGGAUUUCGGCUAGCAUCUAUAUCGUCAAAAGCAAAACCGUGAGGUCUUGUGUGUGAAGAAGAGAAAAAGAAUUGUUGUUGCCAGAUUUACUUGUUGCUGUUGCUGAAGGAGAGAAGAAGACUUGGGAUUUUUUGGGUGGGAGAGGGAAAAGGGUGGAAGAAGUGAUAUCAAGAUCCAAGGCUAGUGAGUGUGGCAGAGGAAGGGGUGGAAGAAGUGAGAGGCGUUAAGGGGUCAAAAAUGGAGUUGCCGGUGGCGGAGGAGUAGAGGAGAGAGAGCGCGAGGGGAGGGCGGAGGAGGGUGGCGGCGUUGAAGUUGAACAAGAAGAGGAAGAAGCUGGGUUUUCCCACUGGGAAGAGACAUCGGAGGUGGGGGUGCGGGUGCGGGUU